CUGUUAAAACGCAAACGUCACAGCAAGCGUGUCAAACAUGUGCAGUGUGCAAAGAGAGGAGCCUCCACCUAUAAGUUGGGGCUUUUGUCACAUGACUCUAAGAUGCAGCAAGGCACAGUUUUUAAUUUCUUGUUAUUUCAUUAUGAAAUGAGAAAGAAAAUCCUCAUGAAAUAUACAAGUAAUCAAGUUAUACAUCCAGAUGGAUGGGAAUACUGAUAGAAGCAAGAACAGCACACAGUAAACUGCUUUGAGAAAAUCAUCAAAAAGCAUGAAGUUAAAGUGCACUUUGAAGAAACACACUUUAGUAGGAAACAGAAUCAAGGUGUGGAUAAUGAAUAUUUCACACACAGCUACUCAAUAAAUUUUCUGAAGGUUUAAAAUAAAAUCCAACCCAAAAUGAAACACCAGAUGUGGAAUCUACAACAGUUAUUUUGUGAUUUGAUCCAUGGCUUGAUCACUUACUGACUAUUUGAUUUCAUGCCAGAAAGUGGAAACAACAAUUGCCCUCAUCAGAAGACUGGACAAAGAAAAUCUACAUUUAGACUUUUGGAGUA